CGAGUGAGCGGGAAAGCUCAAAUUUGAAAUCUGGUAGCCUCAGGCUGCCCGAGUUGUAAUCUAUAGAAACGUUUUCCGCGCUGGCCCAUGUACAAGUCUCCUGGAAUGGAGCGUCAUAGAGGGUGAGAAUCCCGUCCUUGACAUGGACUACCAGUGCUUUGUGAUACGUUUUCAAAGAGUCGAGUUGUUUGGGAAUGCAGCUCAAAAUGGGUGGUAAAUUCCAUCUAAAGCUAAAUAUUGGCGAGAGACCGAUAGCGAACAAGUACCGUGAGGGAAAGAUGAAAAGCACUUUGGAAAGAGAGUUAAACAGUAUGUGAAAUUGUUGAAAGGGAAACGAUUGAAGUCAGUCAUGUCUAUUGGACUCAGCCGGUUCUGCCGGUGUACUUCCUUUAGAUGGGGUCAACAUCAGUUUUGAUCGCUGGAAAAGGGCAGGAGGAAUGUAGCACUCUCGGGUGAACUUAUAGCCUCCUGUCGUAUACAGUGGUUGGGACUGAGGAACGCAGCAUGCCUUUAUGGCCGGGGUUCGCCCACGUACAUGCUUAGGAUGUUGACAUAAUGGCUUUAAACGACCCGUCUUGAAACACGGACC
rnacentral:rRNA from 1 species